AUUGAACGCUGGCGGCAUGCCUUACACAUGCAAGUCGAACGGCAGCACGGAGAGCUUGCUCUCUGAUGGCGAGUGGCGAACGGGUGAGUAAUGCAUCGGAACGUACCGUGUAAUGGGGGAUAACGUAGCGAAAGUUACGCUAAUACCGCAUACGACCUGAGGGUGAAAGCAGGGGAUCGCAAGACCUUGCGUUAUACGAGCGGCCGAUGUCAGAUUAGCUAGUUGGUGAGGUAAAGGCUCACCAAGGCGACGAUCUGUAGCGGGUCUGAGAGGGUGGACCCGCACACUGGGACUGGGACACGGCCCAGACUCCCACGGGGGGCAGCAGUGGGGAAUUUUUGACAAUGGGGGCAACCCUGAUCCAGCCAUGCCGCGUGAGUGAAGAAGGCCUUCGGGUUGUAAAGCUCUUUCGGCCGGGAAGAAAUCGCACAGGCUAAUACUCUGUGUGGAUGACGGUACCGGCAUAAGAAGCACCGGCUAACUACGUGCCAGCCGCCGCAGUAA
rnacentral:rRNA from 1 species